rnacentral:rRNA from 1 species
GAUGAACGCUGACAGAAUGCUUAACACAUGCAAGUCUACUUGAUUCUACUUCGGUAGUUGAUGGUGGCGGACGGGUGAGUAACGCGUAAAGAAUCUGCCCUUUAGUUUGGGAUAACCUUUGGAAACGAAGGCUAAUACCGGAUAUUAUGGAGACGUCGCAUGGCGACUCCAUGAAAGCUAUAUGCGCUAGAGGAGGAAUUUGCGUCCCAUUAGUUAGUUGGUGAGGUAAUGGCUAACCAAGACCGCGAUGGGUAGCCGGCCUGAGAGGGUGAUCGGCCACAAGGGAACUGAGACACGGUCCUUACUCCUACGGGAGGCAGCAGUGGGGAAUAUUGGACAAUGGGCCACAAGCCUGAUCCAGCAAUUCUGUGUGCACGAUGAAGGUCUUCGGAUUGUAAAGUGCUUUCAGUAGGGAAGAAAAAAAUGACGGUACCUACAGAAGAAGCGACGGCUAAAUAUGUGCCAGCCGCCGCUGUAAUAC